GCAUCAGGAUGAUGUUUCCAGUGACUCUGAUUGUCAUGUUGGGUUUUCUGACUCAGGAGUCUUCUGCCAACGACUUUCUGACUCAGACUGACAAAUCCAAGUCUGUUAGUCUCGGAGGGACUGUGACCAUCAGCGCCACAGGGAGUUCAAAUAUUGAUAAUGAUCUCAGUUGGUACCUUCAGAAACCUGGACAGGCUCCCAAACUUCUUAUAUAUGAUGCAUCAACUCUAAACUCAGGAACUCCGUCUCGAUUCAGUGGCAGCAGAUCUGGUUCUCAGUACACUUUAACCAUCAGUGGUGUUCAGGAUGAAGAUGUUGCAGAUUAUUACUGUCUUGGCUACCCUCGUGAUGGAGUGUUCACACAGUGAUUUGUAGCCGUACAAAAACCUCCCUCAGUGUGACUGAAGUGAAACGGCCUGCUGCAGGUGCAGAGGGUUGGUGAAGAGACUGUGAUGAGGAUAACUGGUCCAGUGAACACAACACAAGAGUCAUCAAGCAGAACCACAAAGAAUCUAAAUAAAACUGAAACACACUCACACACGA